UCGGCAGCUUCAGAUGUUUAUAAGAGAGAGGCUGUUAACCGAUCGGUCGCAGGUUCGAGUCCUGCCUGUGGAGCCA
rnacentral:tRNA from 1 species